rnacentral:rRNA from 1 species
CACGUAGUUAGCCGUCCCUUUCUGGUAAGCUACCGUCACAGUGUGAACUUUCCACUCUCACACCCGUUCUUGACUUACAACAGAGCUUUACGAUCCGAAAACCUUCUUCACUCACGCGGCGUUGCUCGGUCAGGGUUGCCCCCAUUGCCGAAGAUUCCCUACUGCUGCCUCCCGUAGGAGUUUGGGCCGUGUCUCAGUCCCAGUGUGGCCGAUCACCCUCUCAGGUCGGCUAUGUAUCGUCGCCUAGGUGAGCCAUUACCUCACCUACUAGCUAAUACAACGCAGGUCCAUCUUGUAGUGGAGCAAUUGCCCCUUUCAAAUAAAUGACAUGUGUCAUCCAUUGUUAUGCGGUAUUAGCUAUCGUUUCAAUAGUUAUCCCCGCUACAAGGCAGGUUACCUACGCGUUAUUCACCCGUUCGCAACUCAUCCAAGAAGAGCAAGCUCCUCUCUUCAGCUUCUACUUGCAUGUAUUAGGCACGCCGCCAGCGUCGU